CGAUACCCUGGCAUCUUGCGGAGAAUGCCAGAGUUUCUCUGACAGUCAUCUCGCCAAUGUGCAGGUCAUGUUGACUGAUGUAAGCAGCUGUUCUCUGGGGGAUGAACUCUUGCAUCCCGUGGCCAUUGAUAUGGACAAUUGGAAAUGCCAUGUUUCCUGUGAGCCAAACUAUCAUGUUGUUGUUUCUAUGGGAUGCAGAGGAAUAUAUCUAGUCACCCCCUGUAUGAGUGGGAGGUAACUCAUAUCUGUUCUUUUAUUUAUUUAUUUAUAUUAAUGGUUGAAUUUGUUCAACAAUAAUCAUUAACGUAGAGAGUUAAAAAUAAUUGCAAUUUCAAGAACUAGUGAAAAUUUUCAAGUAGUUAAUAUGUCAAAGUCAGUAAUAAGACUCUAAUGUAGUAUUAUCCAAUUAGAUGAUGAAUGAUUAUUAACUUAAUUGUAUAAUAAAAUAAUAUUAUUUCCAUAACUCCUUGAUGAUGACCGCUCACAACCUAUCUUGUUGAUGGUCUUGGAUUGCUAACAAUAAGAAUUGUUGUGUUUUUUAUUUUUUUCUGAUUGUCAUAAGCUGGUUCAGGGGCUAAUAAGAAUGUUUUAUUUUUUAUUUUUAUUUUUCUUCUGGUUGGCAUAAGCUUGAGUCAAAGGGCAAUAGUUGGAAUUGCAUUAAUUUGCCUGCAUGUGCAACAUGCGCCAUAAAAAAAAUAUAUAACAAUUACUGACAGAAAUUUCUUUAGAUUUUAACUUUGUAAUUUCUUUGUCGUGUGUUUUUCGUGAUAUGUUACUGUAACAUCUUAUUUUAUAUUCAUGCACGUGAUUCAUCAAAAAUAAAAACAGAAUUAAGAUUGUACUCACCUAGCAUUUAUAUUUUAUUUUCAUGCAUGUGAUUCAUCAUAAAUAAAAAAAAAAACACAAUUAAUAUUGUAUCACCUUGCAUUUAUAUAUUUGCAAGAGGCCUUGCAUUGACUUCUAUAAAGGGAAAGCCAACAAGGAGCAUUGAUUUACAUGAAAGGAAAGCCAAUCUGGAGCAUAUCAACUGGGCAAACAAUGGCCUCAUCAUCAAGAAAGUUGGAUCCAACCACCUUUUUGAUAUCUAACCGAUCAAUCUUAUUAACUCAUUAAAAAAUUUGGUUAAUCAACUUAACAGGGUCAUAAAACUCCUGGUGGAUCCCACUUAGUCUUCUUUCAUUAAGAACUUUAAGGACUUAGCAACCCCAUUCCCUAUAUUUGUUAUAGUUGUUGACACAAUUCUUCACCACAGGUGGCCUAUUUAAUCCUUUCCUAUUUGUACUCUCCUGGUAUUUGUUGUGUCAUUUUUAUUUCAAUAAACAUGAUUUAUUUUUUUAUUUAUUUUUAUAUUUCUUGAGCUACCUGUUGUUUUUAA